rnacentral:lncRNA from 1 species
UCUUGCUUGCCUUUGUACAUUACCAUCGCCCUCUCAUACUUCCAAGGCACGGCCUUGUUGUUAAUCAUUGGCAGUUGGACUACAUGCUUGAUGAUGGCCGGUUCCCAGCAGACCCCCUUUACAACAAACACGGAUGCAGAUGAUGCUCCCGAUACUACCACUUUGUCUGCUUCUAGUUUCUUUGGAGUAAUGGCUGGAUUCUUCCCCAAAAUCACCAGAGGUUUGACCUCUAACCUCUCCACAUCUACCCCUUCUUCCUUAUCGAUCGGUUUUUCUUUUGGGGUGGCCCGGAUCAUCAUCACUAUUUGUGAUGGUUUCUUUAUCUCCCAUCUUUCAUGCACAAGCUCAAUCAUGUGAGCUUCAUGGUGUGCUGGCAAUGGAUUCUGGUUGAUGUUAGGCGCCUCCGGCGUCUGGACCUCGAUCUUGUUGGCAUCAAUGAGAUCUUGUAUUGCCC